rnacentral:lncRNA from 1 species
GUCCUGGGCAUUAACCUUCCAAAUAUUUAUUGAAUAUCUGGCAGCCUAGAAUGCUUUCUCCAGGGGGAGCUGACUAACAAAUGAGGGAGAAGGAGAGGCCUGCCUCUGGCUAGCCACAAUUUAUUUUCACAUUCAAGAGCAAAGACCCAGGAGAGCACAUACAAAAAAAACUCAGUGUAUUCCAGGGAGGGGGCCGGGGUUGUCUGGAAGAAUUCACAGAUGUGAUGGCAUUGAAGGGCAGCUGCAGCAAGGAGAGAAAUCCACUCGAGGAAGAGACAACAGAGUUCACAGGCGAGUGCGGACAGUGGGGAGAAGUGAUAGCCUCAGAGAGCACACAGUUGGAAGGCCACUGUCACCUCAGCUACCUGCACCCGGAUGAGGGGCUCCG